rnacentral:rRNA from 1 species
UACGUAGGGGGCUAGCGUUGUUCGGAAUCACUGGGCGUAAAGCGCACGUAGGCGGAUCGUUAAGUCAGGGGUGAAAUCCUGGAGCUCAACUCCAGAACUGCCUUCGAUACUGGCGACCUUGAGUCCGGGAGAGGUGAGUGGAACUGCGAGUGUAGCGGUGAAAUGCGUAGAUAUCUGGAGGAAUACCGGUGGCGAAGGCGGCGUUCUGGACCAUUACUGACACUGAAUCGCGAAAGCUAGGGGAGCAAACGGG